CUAUACCUUAGAACACGUCUUCCAAUUAUUUACAUUUUUGCCCACCGGCUGCAGACAGCGUUUUAAAUUUUAACUAUCUACGCACUUUGUCGUCCCACUAUUCAAUUAUCUUCAGGAAGCAGGUUUAGUUUUCACCUUCUGCAAUGGCUUGCUCUUCAUCACACGCGAAGAAUUUUGAUGUGUUUGUGAGCUUUAGAGGUCUGGAUACUCGUAAUAGUUUCACUGAUCAUCUUUUUGCUGCUCUUCAAAGGAAAGGCAUUGUUGCUUUCAGGGAUAACCAAAAUAUCAACAAAGGGGAACUCUUGGAGCCUGAGCUCUUGCAGGCAAUCGAAGGAUCACAUGUUUUCAUUGUUGUCUUCUCAAAAGACUAUGCAUCAUCCACAUGGUGCUUGAAAGAGCUGAGAAAGAUUUUUGAUAGGGUUGAAGAAACAGGGCGAAGUGUACUCCCUAUUUUCUAUGAUGUCACUCCUUCUGAGGUCCGGAAACAGAGUGGAAAGUUUGGAAAAGCUUUUGCUGAAUACGAAGAAAGGUUCAAAGAUGAUUUGGAAAUGGUAAAUAAAUGGAGGAAAGCUCUCAAAGCAAUUGGCAAUCGUAGUGGUUGGGAUGUACAAAAUAAGCCAGAACAUGAAGAAAUUGAAAAAAUUGUUGAAGAAGUAAUGAACCUACUGGGUCAUAAUCAAAUUUGGAGUUUCAGUGGUGAUUUAGUUGAUAUGGACUCUCGUGUGAAACAAUUGGAAGAGCUUCUAGAUUUGAGCGCAAAUGAUGUUGUUCGCGUUGUGGGAAUUUGGGGGAUGAGUGGAGUAGGAAAGACAACACUUGUUACUGCUUUGUUUGGUAAAAUCUCUCCUCAAUAUGAUGCUCGUUGUUUUAUUGAUGAUUUAAACAAAUAUUGUGGGGAUUUUGGUGCAACAAGUGCACAAAAACAACUUCUUUGUCAAGCUCUAAAUCAAGGAAAUAUGGAGAUACACAAUCUUUCCCAUGGAACCAUGUUGAUAAGAACUAGGCUACGUCGCUUAAAGACACUUAUUGUUCUUGAUAAUGUUGAUCAGGUUGAACAAUUAGAGAAUUUGGCUUUGCAUCCUGAAUAUCUAGGUGAAGGGAGUAGAAUCAUCAUAAUCUCUAAAAAUAUGCAUAUCUUAAAAAAUUAUGGAGUAUAUAAAGUUUACAAUGUUCAACUCCUUAAGAAGGAUAAGGCUCUUCAAUUACUUUGCAAAAAAGCUUUCAAAUCCGAUGAUAUUGAGAAAGGGUAUGAAGAGGUAACAUAUGAUGUACUGAAGUAUGUCAAUGGUCUUCCACUAGCAAUCAAAGUAUUGGGCUCAUUUUUGUUUGAUCGAGAUGUUUUUGAGUGGAGAAGUGCAUUAACUAGAAUGAAAGAAAAUCCAAGUAAAGAUAUCAUGGAUGUGUUGCGAAUAAGUUUUGAUGGAUUGGAGACAAUGGAAAAAGAAAUAUUUCUAGAUAUUGUUUGUUUCUUUUCAAGUGAUCAAUUCCAGGAUUAUGACCGGCGGUCUAUACCUCCUGAGAAAAUUCUAGGCUAUCGGGGAUUUUAUCCCAAAAUUGGUAUGAAAGUUCUAGUUGAAAAAUCACUCAUAAGUUUUGAUCGUUAUAGUAAUAUUCAAAUGCAUGACUUGUUGAAAGAGUUGGGCAAGAUUAUUAUCCGAGAAAAGGCACCCAAGCAACCUAGAAAGUGGAGCAGGUUAUGGGACUACAAGGAUCUCCAAAAAGUUAUGAUAGAAAAUAAGGAGGCCAAAAAUCUUGAAGCCAUAUGUAUUUGUAAUGAAAAAUACCAAGAUGAGUUUCUACAACAAACAAUGAAAGUAGAUGCUCUAUCAAAAAUGAUUCAUCUUAAGUUACUCAUGCUUAAGAAUGUGAAUUUUUCAGGAAUUCUCAAUUAUCUUUCUAAUGAAUUGAGAUAUUUAUACUGGGAUAACUAUCCUUUCUUGUCUAUGCCAUCAAGUUUUCAUCCCGAUCAACUUGUCGAAUUGAUUUUGCCUUAUAGCAAUAUCAAACAAUUAUGGAAAGACACAAAGCAUCUGCCGAAUUUGAAAGAUUUAGAUCUCAGCCACUCCCAAAAUCUUAUUGAGAUGCCAGACUUAAGUGGAGUCCCACAUCUUAGGAAUCUCAAUCUCCAAGGAUGUACAAAAAUUGUACGCAUCGAUCCAUCCAUUGGUACCCUAAGAGAGCUUGAUUCUCUGAAUUUGAGGAAUUGUAUAAAUCUUUUCCUUAAUCUGAAUAUCAUUUUUGGGCUUAGUUCUCUUAAGUACCUUAAUCUCUCAGGCUGUUCAAAAUUACUUAAUAAUAGGCUGUUACAGAAACCAAGGGAGACAGAACAUAUGGAAAAAAUUGAUGAAAAUAGAAGUUCCAUCCAAUUAUCAACAUCCUCUGUAUACGAAAUGCUAAUGCUGCCUUUCUAUAUUUUCUCCUCUUGGAAACAAGUAGAUUCACUGGGUUUGUUGGUUCCUUAUUUAUCUCGUUUCCCACGUUUGUUUGUUCUUGAUCUGAGCUUCUGCAAUCUACUUCAAAUCCCUGAUGCUAUUGGGAACUUACAUUCUUUAGUAAUAUUAAAUUUGGGGGGAAACAAAUUUGUGAUACUACCUAAUACCAUUAAGCAACUUUCCGAACUUCGAUCUCUAAACUUAGAGCACUGCAAGCAGCUGAAAUAUUUGCCCGAGCUUCCAACACCAAAAAAGAGAAAAAAUCACAAAUAUUACGGGGAAUUAAACACUUUCAAUUGCCCCAAUUUGAGUGAAAUGGAACUUAUUUAUCGCAUGGUUUUUUCUUGGAUGACACAAAUCUUUGAGGUACACUGGCAAUCCUCUCUUUCCUUUAAUAGGCUUGAUAUUGUUAUUCCUGGAACUGAAAUUCCAAGGUGGUUCAGUAAACAAAAUGAGGGUGAUUCAAUAAGCAUGGACCCGUCUCCUGUUAUGGAAGACCCAAAUUGGAUAGGUGUUGCCUGUUGUGCAUUAUUAGUGGCACAUCAUGAUCCGUCUAAUAUUGGUAAUAGAUCGACACAUCUUGAUCAUUAUCCAAGUAUUGGAUACAGUUUUCAAAAUAAACAGGUUUUGAAUAAAACACAUCAAUUACUUCCAAUACAUUUGCAGAAUGAUCUGGUCACAGGUGAAUUAGAUCACUUGCUGAUUUUGUUUGCCUCUCGGGAAGAAUUCCUUCUUUUUCCUAGACACGAAACUGAUAUGCAUGGUCUUGAUACAAGGGGAUUCACAACUUGGAUACGUGACCACCCUAAAGGUUUGCGGUUGCAGGUGAAAAGUUGUGGGUAUCGUUGGGUAUUUAAGGAAGAUCUUCAACAAUUAAACCCAAACAUGAUGUUCAGAGGAAAUUCUUCAUCUAGGAAGUGCAAGCUUUUAUCAAGUGAUUAACAACGCUAAUUGAGCUCAUUCACCCAAAGCUAGUAGUUUCUUUUCAACCACAGUUCCAUCAAAGAAAUUCUAAUCCAUUUGAGGAGUGUAGUACCAGAGCCACCAAUCGCUCCACCAAUUUCCAGGGCUUGGAUGAAUUGCAAGAUUCAAAGCAAAGUUACUGUGCAUUUGGAAUUGAAUGGACAUUACAGCAAGAUCAAUUCAAUGGAUUUUUACUUGGUCUUGACUCUUGAGCUAACAGCAUUUCCAUUUUUGAUAGAACUUAGUCCACCUAUUAGAUUGCAGUCUGUUGAAGCUUCUCCGUGGGAUGAUUUGAUAGAGAAUGUCCAAGAAUGAGGGGUAAGGCGGUGAGUACGGUAGACAUUAAUUCUGCAGCUCCUAUCUAUUUUGUGCUUCAUUGUGGAUAUUGAUCUUUAGCUUGAGGCAAUUGUUAAUAUAGUUGAUAAAAUAACAACAUUAAUAUUUGAGAUUAGCUAUGUCAGUAAGGUGACUAUCCCCUCUUUUAGUCUUUAUUCAUUCAUGAUUUAGAAAAAAUUUCAUUCACUCUAACCUAGUCUUUUUUAGUUCUGCGUUGUUAGCUAGAAUUUCUUUUUCCCCACAGAAAUCCUCUUCCUGAAGGGGCUGAUUGCUUGUGCUUGCUUUCUGCCUAUCCUGUGUCACAGUUAGAACUAAGAACUCAUGCCUUGCUUGUUCCAAAAGAAAAUCAACCAAUGAUAUUACCGAUAUAGUUGCUGAUGAUUUCACCAUAGACCAAAUCACAACAGAAAUGCAUUGGAUACGGGUGGAUUAAAUGUAAACUUUGAAGACAAAGGUGCAGUGCAACAGUAUAAUAUACUGUGAAGUCUGAAGUGAGCGGAUAUUGAUUAAAAUCAGCUCCGGAACUCAUUGCUAAAAGCAGCUAUACACCUUAUGCUUUUCUUGAUAGUAGAUUUAUAAUAGGUGUGCAUAUUACUUUGCUAACAGCGCGCUUUCAAAGCAUGAAACAAGUUAACUGGUGCACUAAAUCUGUUUUGUAAAUCAACUUCCUCAUUUUACUUGACUGUCUAUUACGAGCUUUAGCUGCUGAAUUUCUUGUAGUUUCUUGUGAUAAUUAUCAGUAUGUGCAGUUGCUGAAAGAUAGGCCUUAUUUCUGUUGGAUUCUGAAAUAGGUCGGAUCUAAUUUGAAGAUUAGCAAUUUGAGAAUGGAUUCUUGGUA